GACGAACGCUGGUGGCGUGCUUAACACAUGCAAGUCGAACGGUAUUUAGUAAACAGAAGCCUCCGGGGAAGAUUACUACUGGGAAUGGCGACCUGGUGAGUAACGCGUGAGCAACCUGCCUAUUACAGUGGGAUAGCCUCGGGACACCGGAAUUAAUACCGCAUAAAAUCGUAGAAACACAUGUUUUAACGGUCACAGAUUUAUCGGUCAUAGAUGGGCUUGAGUCUGAUUAGCUAGUUGGGGCGGUCCAAGCCCACCAAGGCGACGAUCAGUAGCAGGUCGAAGAGGGUGAGAGGACACACGGGGACUGAGAGAGGGGCCAGGCGCCUGGGGGAGGCAGCAGGAGGGAAGCGUCGGCAAGGGAAGGAAGCGUGAACGAGAAACGCUGCGGGAGGGAAGAAGGGUGUCGGGUCGUAAAGCUCGGUUGUAAGAGAAGAAAGAGUGUGAGAGUGGAAAGUUCACACUGUGACGGUAUCUUACCAGAAAGGGACGGCUAACUACGUG
rnacentral:rRNA from 1 species